GUAAUUAACAAGUAUUAUACUUUAUAAUUAGAAAAAACAAAUUUAAACUUUAUAAGUUUAUAAGGAGCUUAUAUAUACAAAUAUACAAAAAUAGGGUCUAACAAAACAGGCUCUUAUAAAAUGCCAUCCAUGAUAGCAAGUUCAAUUUUGUCAUUUAAGCUCAAAACAAGCUCCCCACUCAAUUUUAAAAUACAUAUCUUCAUUAAGUUAUCAAUUUGAAAAUGUCAACCUUCGGUUUAUGCCUGUAAGGUAUAAUUACUAUUCACUUGGAUUCUAGACUCAAUUGACAGAUUAGAAAUACAGUGCCACUAAAUGGGAUAUUGGUUAAGUACACAUUUUCUGAAGCCAAUUUUUGGUGUUGGUCAAGCUAUUUGCCUCUCUGAGCCUCAGCCUCUUCAUUGGUAAAAUAUGGACAAUAAUAUUACGUACUUCACAGGGUUAUUAUGAGCUUGAAUGAGUUAGUAAAUGUUAAGCCCUAGGACAGUGCCUGGUAUAUAAGAAGCACUCAAUAAAUAUUAACAAAUUUUAUUAUAGCCAUAAUAUGUCUAUUAUGUAAAAGCUUCAAUUUCCCUCACAAAAGCAAAACCAUGACUUAAUAUAAGCUAAUUGUAACAAUGUUACAUUUAUCCUAUUCCAAACAUGAGUUAGUCCAUGUAAGUAAAUUUUUCAGAUAAUUCAGACAGCUGAACCUUAACCUUUUAAGUGUCCAAUCAUUUUAGUUUUAAUCCUCAAAACAUAUUCAAAACCUGUCAUUUUGUUCUGGUUAAGCAGCUUCUUUCCAGAAGUCUAUAUUUGCCAAAACCCUAGUUCUAGACGAAAUGGAGAGAAGAGGAUCAAAAUAAGCAUAAUAUAAUGUUAGGUCCUACCUAACAUUUUAUUACAUAUUGAGUUGCUUAUUUUCCAUCUCCCCUACAUAUAAGAAUGUAAGUAUCUUGAGGGCAGAGACAUUAUGUAUUUGGUUCUUUGCUGUGUCUCAACACCUAGAACAACAUCUAACACAUAAUAGACACUUGAAAAAUAUUUGUUAAAUGAGUGAAUAAAAUAUGAUGCUAGAGAACCACAGCCUCCAGGUGUGCUCUUUUAAAGUUUCUUAGCUUUCCUUUCUGCAAAGUAAGAGUGGUAAAAUUCAACCACCUAUCUUUCAAUAGUGCUCAAAAGACUAAAGAUCUUAAUUUUAAAAUCUUUAAAGAAAGAUAUAUCAGAAAUUAUCUAACAUAGGCCCCCUUUAAAGAAGUCUCUUCACCCCCUUAAGGAAUCACCGUAUUCAUAGUAAUAAAACAAGACAUUUAGAAUUGCUAUUUAUUACCAUGGCUCUGGAGCAUAGAUUCUCAAGAAGAACCACCAUUUGAAGUUGGUGAGGCUGGUGAGGGCUUUCAAUCAAGAACAGGCUGCCCUCUUAGCUCAGCUCCCAUGAUGGUAGGCUUU
rnacentral:lncRNA from 1 species